AUCUACAUGCAAGAGCAAAACUAGAGCAACAAUGAUGCCAGAGUUAUAUUUCUGCACGGCACCGGACACUGAGCAGAAGAACUCUAGACACUCGAUGAUGUGCUCUUAGCAAUCACUUUCUUCGAUCAGAUAUAUGAUAUGCUUCCAUUGGAUUCUGAUUUGAUGCACACAUCAAAAUCAUGUGGCUUUUAUAUGGAUCUGGAAGUCUAAUUUAUGGCCUAAGCUUGAGGUAUUUGCAUGGUUAUUAUUCUCCGACAGAUUGAACACCAGAAACAUGCUUAAGAGGAGGCACUAUAACAUUGGAAAUAAACUUUCAUGCCCAUUGUACAAUUCUGGUGAAGAGGGAAGAGGGACACUGGAACACCUACUCUUCAUUUCUCCUUUGCUACUUAGUGGGAACAUAUUGCAUAUAAAAUGGAAUCUUCAGGUCAACUGAUCUGAGGCUAUUACUGAAGCAAAGAAUUCCUUUCAAGGAGAGCUUUUGUUCGAAAUUUUUAUAAUUGAAGCCUGGGAUAUCUGGAAAGAAAGGAAUAAUUAUAUCUUCAAGGGCGUAAGGCUUUCCAGGGCUGUUUGGAGAGCUAGAGUGGCAGCUGAUCUGCACCUUCUUAGAUACAAAGUCUCUCAAGACUUUCACUUUUUUAUACUUUCUGUUGUAGAUAGCAUCUGGACUUUGUAAUCCUGGGAUUCCAGAGGGUGUUACACCCAACGAUGUAAAUAUCUUUCCGUAUUAAUAUAUAUAUAUACCACA